rnacentral:tRNA from 1 species
GCCAGUCUAGCUCAGUCGGCAGAGCACGAGACUGAUAAACUCGGGGUGGUGGGUUCAAGUAACAUGUUUGGUG